ensembl:lncRNA
UGUAGAAAUGCGGCUGGGAGGCAAAAUGAAAUCAUAUAUAUUCAUUACAUUCAUUUAGUGAUGUUAAGCCUCCCGGUGCCCAUAACACUCUGGACGUGCUGUCACCAUUCACCUAGAGAGAAAGCAGCUACCUCUGCAGACAGCGUGGAAGAUGGGCAGAGACUGAGUACAGCCGAGGAGGGGAUGUGGUGGAUGCUGGCACAGGACACAGAUCACUCUGGGGCUGCAGCCCCAGAAUGAAGUUAUACACCCUGGAAACUGCUCCUGGUGCGGCGGCCUAACGUAACUAGACAGCACAGACCGAAAUCUUUCCUGCAUAAUUGUGUGCUUCACUGGCCUGACACUGGGAAUGAAUUUAGCUCACCCGAGGCUCAGCUGGAGAUGGGGUGGCUUUCGAGCAGCUUACGCUCCGUCCCAGCGCAUCACCCGGCAUUGAUUGAUCGCCUUUACUGCAGGCUCUGACAAGAGAGGCUUCUCCCAGCACACCUUAAUUUGAGAUCUCCUGCAUGCAGGAAGCAAUGGAGUUAAGUGACCUUGCUGAAUCCCGACUGCUGCAGCUGCAGGAGAACGGGGAAGGAAAAGAAGAGAGGGGAGGAGGAAGAGGCACUUUGCAGCCUCCCAUUAAAGCCCCAAGAGGCUGAAGAUGAGAGAGUGAAAGUUUCAAAUUGCCAGAAUGUAAUUCUGAAAGUCAUUUUCCAAGCGCAGAGCUCUCCGCAAUGUCACCUCUCAUCUUCCAAGGUGGGGAUAGAAGAAACAAAAAAACACAGAAUGUUCUGCAAAGACAGAGCUGCUAAUACAAAGACAGAAGAGGUGUCAGUCCCCAGACACGCUGUCUCGCACCGCCUUCUUCUGGGAGAUCUGUGCAGCUCGGGUGCACCUGUACCGGGGAACCAUUCCCAGCUCCUUUCCCAAGCCAUAUCCAACCUGGGUGAGCGCUCUGGCUGAGCUGACUAUGGCUUUUUCCAGCCCUUCUAAGAGCAAGGAUAUCAAAGAAGUCUGCAUAUUCAACAGUUACAGUUUACAUUUGAAUGAAACUCCUGACCUUCAAUUCAAUACAGUGAUUAUGUUAAUGAUUAAUACUAUUAUUAAUUUCUUAGCCUUCUCUAGCAAAAGACCGUGAUGGAUGUGCGGGAGAAAAG